rnacentral:rRNA from 1 species
CACGUAGGUGGCUUUGCAAGUCGAUUGUGAAAUCCCCGGGCUUAACCUGGGAACUGCAGUCGAGACUGCUUUGCUUGAGUAUGGGAGAGGGAGGUGGAAUUUCCGGUGUAGCGGUGAAAUGCGUAGAUAUCGGAAGGAACAUCAGUGGCGAAGGCGACCUCCUGGACCAAUACUGACACUCAAGUGCGAAAGCGUGGGGAGCAAACA